rnacentral:rRNA from 1 species
GUGGGGAAUAUUGCACAAUGGGGGAAACCCUGAUGCAGCGACGCCGCGUGAGUGAAGAAGUAUUUCGGUACGUAAAGCUCUAUCAGCAAGGAAGAAAAUGACGGUACUUGACUAAGAAGCCCCGGCUAACUACGUGCCAGCAGCCGCGGUAAUACGGAGGGGGCAAGCGUUAUCCGGAUUUACUGGGUGUAAAGGGAGCGUAGACGGUAUGGUAAGUCAGAUGUGAAAGCCCGGGGCUCAACCCCGGGACUGCAUUUGAAACUAUCAGACUAGAGUGCAGGAGAGGUAAGUGCAAUUCCUAGUGUAGCGGUAAAAUGCGUAGAUAUUAGGAGGAACGCCAGUGGCGAAGGCGGCUUACUGGAAUGUAACUGACGUUGAGGCUCGAAAGCGUGGGGAGCAAACAGGAUUAGAUACCCGUGUAGUCC